GGCAGGAGGAGCGGCCUGGCUUUGUCUGAGUCAGGCAGCCCAGCGUGUGGGAUGCCAGGCUGGAUGUGCUGGGCCUGACCAGCCGCCCGCUUUCCUCUUCUCUUGCCUCUGCCUGCCCCCUGGUGGACAGCUGGGGUAAAGCAUGGGAGUGCGCCUUUGGGGUCUCAGUGGGGCUGAAAUACGACUCCUCCCCUAGGACAGCCUGCCUUCCCCAGCCUUGUUCUCCGGCAAAGUCAAUUUCCUGGAGAAUCGAGGCUCUGCCUCAGAUGUUCGGAGCCUCCGCAGGAUGAACACCUCCAUUUCAAUUCCAGGGGCUUUGAUCAACCUGUGCCUCCCUUGAUCCCCAACUUGUGGGCACCUUCCCUUGAGCAGUGCCCCCACGAGGUACACCUUUCCCGGGAAACAAAAAUCAUUCCUUCUUUGGGUCCUGCAAGCUGUAAAGAACCAAUACAGCACUGUGCUACUGAACAUGUUGCCACUAUAGAAGCCCCUUGUGUUUUGAAGAGUACAUCUCUAUAGCCAUUCGUUUAUUCAUCAGAAACCAGCUAGAAGCCAGGCCCUGUGCUGGGCGCUGGAGACAUGGAAGAAACUGGGCUGAGGCUCCCGCCUUGAAGAGCUUGUGGCCCAGGGAAGGGACAGUUCAUCUGUCAUUGAUUGCCACGUGACAGUGUCUAUGAUGCUAAAAAGAUGCCAGUGCUGUGCUGCAGGAGCAAAGGCCGUGGAGGAAGAGGCUUUGGCUUUGUUGCGAGUCCUUGCCAGAGCCAGGCAAAGCCAGUCACCGCUUUGUUCAGAUGACUCAGGUAAAUAAAUGAGGCCGCACAGGCUGUCCUGACACCACACACCUCUAGAAUACCCUGGCUGUGCUGGGAGCUAUUGGUGUCAGCUGAGUAUUUUCAUCCCUGUCCAAGUCACAAUGAUCUGACUGUACCAGCCUGUGUGGAUGUUGCUAAGAGGAGGCAGACAGCACCAUGAGCUCCCUUAGAUGACGAUCGGCAUGAUGUUCCUGCUGUGGCAGCGCUCAGCUCUUGCCAAUGCUCUUCUCUGCUUUGCUCACUUUAAGCCUCCCUUAAUUUUUUUGAAGCCCAGUUUCCACAUUGCUGAUUCACAGAUAUGCAAGACUCAGGCAGGAAAAAAAAAAGGAGACCUAACCUCUUCACGAUCCAGGUUUCCUGAUUUUCAGACCUGAGUUAAGUUGCUAUGGAUACAGAGUGACAGGCCAGUGAAGGAAACUGGGGACAGGGAGUGGCCUGCCCACAGUGUCUCCUUUUCCAGACUUCUUAGAGGACUUGGAAAGAAAAUGAAAUGACGUUGAACGAAAUCAAAGUAAAUUGAGUGAUCUGAAACGAUUUGAUGUCAGCAAGAAUUCCCCAUACAGCUCACAGCCCUACCCCGAGCACGCCUCCCUCUUGGGUAUGCUCUCUGCAGGCCCAAACCUUGCAGAAGCCAUUCCAUGUUUCCUGAGCAGGAAAAGACAAACUCAGACCGACAACCUUGGACUUCAAAAGACUGCACACAAGGGGAGGAAGGACUGAGAGUACCAAGGCGUGAGAAUUCAGAAUGCUGCUAUCUCAUUUAUUUUUACCAUUUAGGAAACGUUUUGAUCUGCAUUCCUUUUCCCUUCCCUGAUUUCAAAAAAUAAAAAUAAAAAUGCUUCGGUUCUGAGGAGUA
ensembl:lncRNA LINC02029 long intergenic non-protein coding RNA 2029